UACGUAGGGUGCGAGCGUUGUCCGGAAUUAUUGGGCGUAAAGAGCUCGUAGGCGGUCUGUCGCGUCGGUCGUGAAAACUUGGGGCUUAACUCCGGGCCUGCAGUGGGUACGGGCAGACUAGAGUGCGGUAGGGGAGACUGGAAUUCCUGGUGUAGCGGUGAAAUGCGCAGAUAUCAGGAGGAACACCGGUGGCGAAGGCGGGUCUCUGGGCCGUAACUGACGCUGAGGAGCGAAAGCGUGGGGAGCGAACAGG
rnacentral:rRNA from 1 species